rnacentral:rRNA from 1 species
GACGAACGCUGGCGGCGUGCUUAACACAUGCAAGUCGAACGGAAAGGCCCUGCUUUUGUGGGGUGCUCGAGUGGCGAACGGGUGAGUAACACGUGAGUAACCUGCCCUUGACUUUGGGAUAACUUCAGGAAACAGGGGCGAAUACCGGAUAUGAGCUCCUGCUGCAUGGGGUGGGUUGGAAAGUUUCGGCGGUUGGGGAUGGAAUAGCGGCUUAUCCGCUUGUUGGUGGGGUAGUUGCUUACCAAGGCUUUGACGGGUAGGCGGCCUGGGAGCGUGACCGGCCACAAUGGGCCUGAGAGAGGGACCAGAAUCGAACGGGAGGCAGCAGUGGGGAAUAUUGCACAAUGGGCGGAAGCCUGAUGCAGCAACGCUGCGUGCGUGAUGACGGCCUACGGGUUGUAAACCGCUUUCGCCUGUGACGAAGCCGGAGUGACGGUAAUGGGUAAAGAAGCACCGGCUAACUACGUG